rnacentral:rRNA from 1 species
UACGUAGGGUGCAAGCGUUGUCCGGAAUUAUUGGGCGUAAAGAGCUCGUAGGCGGUUUGUCGCGUCUGCUGUGAAAACCCAGGGCUUAACCCUGGGCUUGCAGUGGAUACGGGUAGACUAGAGGCAGGUAGGGGAGAAUGGAAUUCCCGGUGUAGCGGUGAAAUGCGCAGAUAUCAGGAGGAACACCAAUGGCGAAGGCAGCUCGCUGGGACGGUACUGACGCUGAGACGCGAAAGCGUGGGGAGCAAACAGG